AGAUUGUGUAUGAGUGGUAUACAGCUCAUUCAUAUUUUUAUCAAGAACAAUAAUGCUCUCCGGAUUGCCUAUCCUGAACCCUAUUGUAGGCUGGAUAUACGAAAUAAUCUUGACACAUGUAAGCAUGUGGUUCAUGUGGAUCUACAUACAAAAUAUUUGAAACACAUCUGUAGUUCUUGCUGUUAUUAGGUGCAAUAUGAGCCAACGGGAUAGCUGGUCCUCUGUUUUUCGCCCUCGUUUGAUGAGUACGGGAGGAUCGAUAAUUUAUUGUAAUUUUGUCUUCAAUAUUAUUUUGCAUUGAUUGAGAAAACUUAUAAUUGAGAUUAUCAUUCGUAUGUUUUUGUCUAUGAUUAGACAUUUUGUUAAAAUUUUUGGUUCUAGGAUUUCCACUAUCAUAAUAAUCCGUUGGAUAAGUCGAUGGAUCAAUGGUUUGUCCUCUUACAUUCUUUCUAGAGUACUGUCCUUUAUUUUGUUUCUCGUUCGUUCUUCUUAGUUUUGGUUGAGGUGUUUCGCUUGUUUGUUUCCUGGUAUGUUUUCUACGUAAGUAUAGACAGACAAAUAACACAACUAGACAGACUGUUAUUAUUCCAGAAAAAAACAAUAGCUAUGACUGCACCAACAGAAAAUUCCAUCGCAUUAUUAGACCUAUUCGAUAUUUGCGUUGUUACCUCAUGAUCAGAUGUGAAAUGUGGAAACAUGAAAGUGAGAACAUUAUCUGAUGUAGAUAUACGGUUUGUGUUAGUCUUUUGAGUUUUGGAAGUAUCAGUAGAAGGAUUUUGAGAACUGGCCGUUUGAUCUAAACUUGAGCUCUUGAAAGGCAUCUCAGUUGUCACUGUUGGGCCUAGAAACGUGAAAGUA
rnacentral:lncRNA from 1 species